rnacentral:tRNA from 1 species
GGGGUUGUGGCUCAGUGGUGAAGCGCUCGCCUCACACGUGUGAAACCCUGGGUUAGAUCCUCAGCACCACA